ACACUGUGCCUCUAUAGCUCAGUGGUAGAGCGUCAGUCUCGUAAACUGAAGGUCCGCGGUUCAAUCCCGCGUGGGGGCAU
rnacentral:tRNA from 1 species